rnacentral:lncRNA from 1 species
AGAGCGUGUGCUCAGAGUCAGUUCUCUCCUUCCACAGAGUGGUUCUGGGAAUAAGUCCAUGUGGUCAGGUCAGGCUCAAUAGCAAGUACCUUUACCCUAUGAACUACGCCACCACCUCUCCUCUGUUUAUUGGCUCAUGAUCAUCAUUAUGGGAAGCAGAUGGAGCAGCAGCUGAGAGCUUUAUAUCCUGAUCUGGAGGCAGCAGGCAGAGAGAGAGACAAGGCCUUAUGAAGCCAAGGCUGGUCUCCAACUCACCAGAUAGCCACCAAAGAUGACCUUGAACUUCUGAUUUUCCUUCUUCCAACUCUCAAAUUCUGGAUGUGAUCUCUUGAAAGGAGAGAGACAGAGGUCUCGAUCUCUUUUGGGUUGUGAAGACCAGGUCAAGUGGCAUGAAACCAUGUGUGACUGAUCCCCACUCCCUUGGUCCCCUGGAGCUGGACUUGCAGAUGUGAGCUGUUUUGCUGUUCCCUUCCCUUUAUCACAGUUGGUGAGGCCAUCUUACCUACAGCUAAGAGACCAUGAAGUAUACCUUGAGACAAGCUUGCUUGGGUCUGAAACGAGGCAGAACACAGCCUUGCUUCCAG